rnacentral:rRNA from 1 species
GAUGAACGCUGGCGGCGUGCCUAAUACAUGCAAGUCGAGCGAACGGACGAGAAGCUUGCUUCUCUGAUGUUAGCGGCGGACGGGUGAGUAACACGUGGAUAACCUACCUAUAAGACUGGGAUAACUUCGGGAAACCGGAGCUAAUACCGGAUAAUAUUUUGAACCGCAUGGUUCAAAAGUGAAAGACGGUCUUGCUGUCGCUUAUAGAUGGAUCCGCGCUGCAUUAGCUAGUUGGUAAGGUAACGGCUUACCAAGGCAACGAUGCAUAGCCGACCUGAGAGGGUGAUCGGCCACACUGGAACUGAGACACGGUCCAGACUCCUACGGGAGGCGGCAGUAGGGAAUCUUCCGCAAUGGGCGCAAGCCUGACGGAGCAACGCCGCGUGAGUGAUGAAGGUCUUCGGAUCGUAAAACUCUGUUAUUAGGGAAGAACAUAUGUGUAAGUAACUGUGCACAUCUUGACGGUACCUAAUCAGAAAGCCACGGCUAACUACGUG